AUCUGAACUGCGCUGUUCAAAAUUCAACUUGAGAAUAACAGUCUCGAUCACCUCACUCUUAAAAUUCCCAUAGCUUCACAGAUCAUGAAGGAACAUACAGUUGUCAGACAAAGGGAGCAGAAUCUCUACCCUAUAACAACUGCUCCUUUUACCUUCAAAGAGCUCAAAAAAUAACAUCGUGUUCGAUUCAGAAUGUCACGGAAGUGCAGCCUACAGAACUACGAUGCAACUUCAAUGUUGAUGUUGGUGUGGCUCGACAAAAUUUUAAGGUGGUGCGUGAAGGCCAAGACGAGGACAUCCUGACUUGUACCUGGCCAGACGGAAAGUUAGUCUGCAGCACAGCUGAUGGAUACGAGUUUGACAACAUCGUCACCAAUCGCCUCGUCGUCAAGUACCUCGAUCCUCACCACACAGAAUGGAACGUACACCUUCACUG